AAUGAACGCUGGCGGCAUGCCUAAUACAUGCAAGUCGAACGAGAGGAAGGAAAGCUUGCUUUUCUGAAUCUAGUGGCGAACGGGUGAGUAACACGUAGGUAACCUGCCCAUGUGCCCGGGAUAACUUCUGGAAACGGAUGCUAAAACCGGAUAGGUAGCAGACAAGCAUUUGACUGCUAUUAAAGUGGCUAAGGCCAUGAACAUGGAUGGACCUGCGGUGCAUUAGCUAGUUGGUGAGGUAACGGCCCACCAAGGCGACGAUGCAUAGCCGGACUGAGAGGGCGGACGGCCACAUUGGGGCUGAGACACGGCCCAAACUCCUACGGGAGGCAGCAGUAGGGAAUUUUCGUCAAUGGGGGGAACCCUGAACGAGCAAUGCCGCGUGAGUGAGGAAGGUCUUCGGAUCGUAAAGCUCUGUUGUAAGAGAAAAACGACAUUCAUAGGGAAUGAUGAGUGUGUGAUGGUAUCUUACCAGAAAGUCACGGCUAACUACGUGCCAGCCGCCGCGGUAA
rnacentral:rRNA from 1 species